AGACGGGACMCUAGAGAGGAGGAAGGCGAUUAAGUGCCUUGGAACAGGCUGCCGUAGAGSGUGWGAGCCCCKUGAAUCGCUGRAGACCGAUCAAUUAGUGCCCGCCGAAGAGUCGAGUUGUUUGGGAAUGCAGCUCUAAGCGGGUGGUAUAUUCCAUCUAAGGCUAAAUAUUAGCGAGAGACCGAUAGCAAACAAGUACAGUGAUGGAAAGAUGAAAAGAACUUUGGAAAGAGAGUGAAAUAGUACGUGAAAUUGUUGAAAGGGAWGGGUAUUUGAUCCGACAUGGUGUUUAGCAGYSGCCCGUUCCUCGUGGAUGGGUGCACCUGGUUUACACUGGGCCAKCAUCGGUUCUGGGAGCCAUAUACRGGGUUCGUGAAUGYGGCCCUYCGAUUCUGUCGGAGGGUG
rnacentral:rRNA from 1 species